AUGAGUAAGGCUACUAUGCUAUCGGAAGCGCGGAGCCUUCCGUGCUUCCAGCUCGUUUUUGAUGUUGCGACUUUCGAAUCGUCGAUCGGCUCCGUUAAACUUGAUCUAGUGUAUUUGAAGUACCUAGAAAAUAAAUUUUAUGAUUUUUCGAUAUCAUUUGCCUAGUGAUCGAAGGGGCUCAAAAUUAAUAAUUUUAAUGGCCGUAGUGAGCCGUUUGCAAAUUUAACGGUGUAGAAAUAUCCAAAUCGCCUGAAAUUUGGAUAGAAAAUUCUUUAUACUAUAUAAAACAAGAUCAAUAUUUUUGAUGUAAAAUUUUAAUGUCAUAUUAUCACGUUUUAUGAGAUUUUUAUUUUCAGCCGUUGAUUUUGUGUCCCUUGGUUCACUAGGUAAAUAAUAUCGAAAAAUCGCAUAAUUUAUUUUCUAAAUACUUCAAAUACUCUAGAUCAAGUUUAACGGAGCCGAUCGACGAUUCGAAAAUCGCAACAUCGAAAACGAGCUGAAAGCACGGAAGGCUCCGUGCUUCCGAUAGCAUAGUAGCCUUACUCUUUAGCAAUUAAGUUUUAUGAUUUUAUAAGAUCCUAUAUCUAGCGAUCUAGUGAUUGUAAAAUAUUAUUUAAAGUUGUUAAUUUUGUGACUGCACAAAAUUUUGUUCCUAACAAGUUAAGGUGGUGUUUGGUUCAUCAAUUGUUUGCAGUGUCAUCAGUUGUGGACAUCAACAAGGCCUCAAGAUGUAUCAUCAAUUGUUGACUGCUUUGUAUUUCUAACUCUAUGGGCUAGUUUGGUUUAUUAAGGGCGUGUUUAUUUACUCGAAAUUAAAUUUUAGGUUGAAAUGGAGUUCAAGUGAAAGUUACUUUUUGUCGCUGUUUGUUUCGUAGUUAUGGAAGAUGAAAUUUUUUUAGUUAUACUGUUUCUUUGGAAAGAAAUAAAUAACGUAAAAUUAUAAUUUAUGUAUAAAUAAUAAAUAUUGAAUAAAUAAUAAAUUAUAAUAUAAUAAAUAAAAAUAAUAUAAUUAUAUUUCUAUAUAAUUAAAAUUUAUUUAAUCUAAAACAAAUAAAUUAUUUUUUAUAUAUAAAUUAUAAAGUAAAAAAAUAGUAAUACUUAAACUAAUCAAUUUACAUCAUAUUUUAAUGUACAAACUAAGAGAAGAAAAUACUAAAAUUUAAUUGAUUAAUUUUUACCAUAUUUUAAAUAUCCAAACUAAAUUAAAGAGUAAUUAGCAUUAUAAUUAAAUAUAUUUAAUUUAAAUAUAACUACUAUUACUUAUCGAUUGUAUUAUUUUAUUAUUUUUUCUUUACCUUUUUUUUUUUUUUUUUCUGUAAUUGACUACGUCCAGUACGCUGUUUCGGAUAACUCGAGUUUCGACCAUAUCUUUAUUACGAUGAAUCAAACAGUAAAAGUGAUCAUUUACGGCAAAAAAUGAUUCCACCUCUUUUCAUUUUCACCCAAACAAAUAGGCCCUAAACAAAAAUCUUAAUGGACAAUUGAACAUUUAAAUUUUUGAGAGAGGGCGAGAGUACAGAGUGAAUGAGUAACAAAAGAAAAGGAGGUUUUUGUGGGAGAGAAUUUUGAAUGAUUUAUUCUUGAAUGGACCAAUCCAAAAUUUAAAAUCAGAUUGGGCCAUAAUGGAUUGGGUCAUAUUUCCAUUUCAGAGUCCAAUAACAAUCAGAAUUCAAUUUCUAUAAAACAAACAUCAACUAUCAGAAUUAAUGAAUUUCUUUCUAAUUUCAGUCUAAAAUAGGUGAACCAAGCAAACCUUAUAUUUUGAUCUUCAAAAAGUAACAAACUUUGAAGCUUUUUUUUUUUUUAAUUUUUUUUUGUAUAUUUGGUAUAUGAAAAGUAUGAUCAAAUGUUUAGAUAUUGAUACCAUAUUCGCUUUCAAGUUAAUUUUUUUCGAACUAAGAUAGAUAAUUUUAUAGGUGAAAAUUGAUAUUCUACUAAAUUAGAGAUCAAGACUUUUCAAGAAGCAACUGACCAUUUUUAACAUAAGUGACAAAUUGCUCAAUGAUUGGCACCGAAAGUCUCAUAUUUAAAACCUAAUUAUUUUACAUUUUUAACUAAGUUUAUUUAUAAAAUAAAAAAAUUAAAAGUUCAAAAUUUUCAAUUAAAAGAAAUUGGUUCUAUUUUGGAGUAAUAUAAAAUUGACCUUUUACAUAUAUGAAAGUCAAUAAUUUUACUCAAAAUUCAUGCUACUAGCAUAAUUUUCUACAUGGGUUGAAGGGCUUGAUAGGGUUAUUAAAAGCAGUGAGCAACAAAUAUUAGGAUACGUUUGAUUAAGAAAUAAGAGUAACCAAUAUAUAUAUAUAUAUAUAUAUAUAUAUAUAUAUAUAUAUAUAUAUAUAUAUAUAUAUAUAUAAUAUAUAUAUAUAACUUAGGGUUACUAUACUAUCGUAGCACGGAGGCUCCAUGAUACCAAAUUGUUUUCGAUGAUGCGGCUUCCAAAUCGACGAUCGGCUCAGUUAGACUUGAUCUACACUAUUAAAAGUAUUUAGAAACUAAAUCGAUAUCAUUUACCUGUCAAACAAAUAGUCUAAAAUUGAACGGCUGAAAAUAAAAAUCUCAUAAAAAUGAGAUGAUAAAAGAUUUAAAUUCACAGAUCGAAUAUAUUGAUCUUACUCUAAAUAGUGAAAAGAAUUUCUAUAAAAUUUCAUCGCAUUUGGAUUAUUUUACACCGUUAAACUUACAAACACACCACAUCGGCCAUUAAAAUUGUCAAUUUUAAGAUCUUUUGAUCACUAGUCAAAUAAUGUCGAAAAAUUUAAAAUUUAGUUUCCAAAUACUUUCAAUAGUGUAGAUCAAUCUAACGGAGCCAAUCGUCGAUUUGGAAGCCGCAUCAUCGAAAACAACUUGGUAGCACGAAGCCCUCUGUGCUAUCGAUAGUAUAGUAGCCGGACUCUAUAUAUAUAUAUAUAUAUUAUAUAUAUAUAUAUAUAUAUAUAUAUAGAAUUAGCUGGAAAUACUCUCAUUAGUACCAAGUUAUUUGUGCUAUUAGUUUUUUAGCCCUUGGAUUAAGAAAUAUGGCGUUAGGAUGAUGUGGACCCUCUAGGGUUGAGUGGGUAGUUGUUGAAUAGUAUAAUCUAACGGGUAAAAAUAAUCAAAGGGGUUAAUCUAACGACAGAAACUUGAUAGCACCAAGUACUUGGUGAUAUCGAUAGACAGCAGUCGGACUCUAUAUAUAUAUAUUAGAGUGAGGCUACUAUGCUUCUGAAAGCACAGAGCCUUCCGUGCUUCUAGGUUGUUUUUCGAUGUGCGACUUUCGAAUCAUCGAUCGCUCGUUAAACUUGAUCCAAUGUAUUUGAAGUACUUAGAAAAUAAAUUUUAUGAUUUUUCGAUAUCAUUUGCCUAGCGAUCGAAGGGGCUGAAAAUCAAAUAAUUUUAAUGGCCGUAGUGAGCCGUUUGCAAGUUUAACGGUGUAGAAAUAUCCAAAUCACGUGAAAUUUUGAUAGAAAAUUCUUUAUACUAUAUAAAACAAGAUCAAUAUCUUUGAUCUAAAAUUUUAAUGUCAUAUCAUCAUAUUUUGUAAGAUUUUUAUUUUCAGCCGUUGAUUUUGAGCCACUUCUAUCACUAGGCAAAUGAUAUAAAAAAAUCACAAAAUUUAUUUUCAAGCUACUUUGAAUACUCUAGAUCAAGUUUAACGGAGCCGAUUGACGAUUCGAAAGUCGCAACAUCGAAAAUGACCUGGAAGCACGGAAGGCUCCGUGCUUCUAG
rnacentral:lncRNA from 1 species